UGAAAGCAUAUUGUCCAUUUAAAGGUUCAUUCACAAAGUCUAAUCCGUGGGAGACACUUUAUACCUGGGAAAUAUAUCUACAGUAAUAAAAACCCACACACAUAUAUACAUAUACGUAUUAGCCACUCACCAAGCACUUCUCCAAUAGCAGCAGAAAGGGAGACAGGCACGGUGUUGCUCUUCCUGCAUUCCCACAUGAGUUAAAAUGUAUGCUCUUCACUUGUCCAGACUCGCCUGCUCUCUGGCUAGGACUAAGUCUGCUGUAACCUUAGCCCCCUGCGGUUUAAGGACAUGAAUAAGUGGAGCCAGGAAAAUAACACAGCUUUUGGACCAACUGAUUCAAGCAAAGGGAAGUCAUUACCGGCAGGCAGUCGUAAACGUGCUUUCUCCUCCACUGGAGCGGGCCUCAGUGCCCCGUUGCAUAAGUGUCCAGCAGAUGUGCACCCCCAGGAGGUCUGGGGCCCUUGCACCGUGGGGUCUCGUGGGAGGCCUGUGGCCACUGUGCUGCGUCCUUGGAAAGGACUUGCAGGACUCGCCGAUCCUGCACUUCCUGGAUUGCUGGUCUCUGGCUGAGAAAUUCUGCUCUGCCGUGCAAGGCCUGGGGAUGCUGCCUGCCGUGGGCUCUGAGCCUGGCUUCCUGAUCAUGUCUGGACAAGCAGCUCCUUCAGCAGCCUGGCUGGGCAGUAUGGACCUGGUGCAAAUCCUGGAAUAUGUCCCAGGCCUCCUUCAGACCUCCUUGGGCCUCUGUCAGCCACUGGACCGGCUGGUAAGCCCACAUCUACUCUAAUCACGGAGAGUAGAUUCUUUCGUCAGAACCUUGGUAUGCAAGGUUCCAAGAGGAUACAGGACAUAGAAAAGGGUAAUUCUGAAAGGCUGUCUUUAUAGUAAACCAAGGAGUUGUGUUAGAUAAUAAU
rnacentral:lncRNA from 1 species